AACUCUCGGCAAUGGAUAUCUCGACUCUCGCAUCGAUGAAGAACGUAGAGAAAUGCGAUACUUGGUGUGAAUUGCAGAAUCCCGUGAACCAUCGAGUCUUUGAACGCAAGUUGUGCCCGAGGCCUCCUGGUCGAGGGCACGUCUGCCUGGGUGUCA
rnacentral:rRNA from 1 species